UUAAGCGACUAAGCGUACACGGUGGAUGCCCUGGCAGUCAGAGGCGAUGAAGGGCGUGCUAAUCUGCGAUAAGCGCCGGUAAGGUGAUAUGAACCGUUAUAACCGGCGAUACCCGAAUGGGGAAACCCAGUGUGAUUCGUCACACUAUCAUUAACUGAAUCCAUAGGUUAAUGAGGCGAACCGGGGGAACUGAAACAUCUAAGUACCCCGAGGAAAAGAAAUCAACCGAGAUUCCCCCAGUAGCGGCGAGCGAACGGGGAGGAGCCCAGAGCCUGAAUCAGCAUGUGUGUUAGUGGAAGCGUCUGGAAAGGCGCGCGAUACAGGGUGACAGCCCCGUACACAAAAGCGCAUGUGCUGUGAGCUCGAUGAGUAGGGCGGGACACGUGGUAUCCUGUCUGAAUAUGGGGGGACCAUCCUCCAAGGCUAAAUACUCCUGACUGACCGAUAGUGAACCAGUACCGUGAGGGAAAGGCGAAAAGAACCCCGGCGAGGGGAGUGAAAAAGAACCUGAAACCGUGUACGUACAAGCAGUGGGAGCACAGGUUUACCUGUGUGACUGCGUACCUUUUGUAUAAUGGGUCAGCGACUUAUAUUCUGUAGCAAGGUUAACCGAAUAGGGGAGCCGGAGGGAAACCGAGUCUUAACCGGGCGUUAAGUUGCAGGGUAUAGACCCGAAACCCGGUGAUCUAGCCAUGGGCAGGUUGAAGGUUGGGUAACACUAACUGGAGGACCGAACCGACUAAUGUUGAAAAAUUAGCGGAUGACCUGUGGCUGGGGGUGAAAGGCCAAUCAAACCGGGAGAUAGCUGGUUCUCCCCGAAAGCUAUUUAGGUAGCGCCUCGUGAAUUCAUCUCCGGGGGUAGAGCACUGUUUCGGCUAGGGGGCCAUCCCGGCUUACCAACCCGAUGCAAACUGCGAAUACCGGAGAAUGUUAUCACGGGAGACACACGGCGGGUGCUAACGUCCGUCGUGAAGAGGGAAACAACCCAGACCGCCAGCUAAGGUCCCAAAGUCAUGGUUAAGUGGGAAACGAUGUGGGAAGGCCCAGACAGCCAGGAUGUUGGCUUAGAAGCAGCCAUCAUUUAAAGAAAGCGUAAUAGCUCACUGGUCGAGUCGGCCUGCGCGGAAGAUGUAACGGGGCUAAACCAUGCACCGAAGCUGCGGCAGCGACGCUUAUGCGUUGUUGGGUAGGGGAGCGUUCUGUAAGCCUGUGAAGGUGUGUCGUGAGGCAUGCUGGAGGUAUCAGAAGUGCGAAUGCUGACAUAAGUAACGAUAAAGCGGGUGAAAAGCCCGCUCGCCGGAAGACCAAGGGUUCCUGUCCAACGUUAAUCGGGGCAGGGUGAGUCGACCCCUAAGGCGAGGCCGAAAGGCGUAGUCGAUGGGAAACGGGUUAAUAUUCCCGUACUUGGUGUUACUGCGAAGGGGGGACGGAGAAGGCUAUGUUGGCCGGGCGACGGUUGUCCCGGUUUAAGCGUGUAGGUGUGUGUUCCAGGUAAAUCCGGUUCACUUUAACACUGAGGCGUGAUGACGAGGCACUACGGUGCUGAAGUAACAAAUGCCCUGCUUCCAGGAAAAGCCUCUAAGCAUCAGGUAACAUCAAAUCGUACCCCAAACCGACACAGGUGGUCAGGUAGAGAAUACCAAGGCGCUUGAGAGAACUCGGGUGAAGGAACUAGGCAAAAUGGUGCCGUAACUUCGGGAGAAGGCACGCUGACACGUAGGUGAAGUGAUUUACUCAUGGAGCUGAAGUCAGUCGAAGAUACCAGCUGGCUGCAACUGUUUAUUAAAAACACAGCACUGUGCAAACACGAAAGUGGACGUAUACGGUGUGACGCCUGCCCGGUGCCGGAAGGUUAAUUGAUGGGGUCAGCGCAAGCGAAGCUCCUGAUCGAAGCCCCGGUAAACGGCGGCCGUAACUAUAACGGUCCUAAGGUAGCGAAAUUCCUUGUCGGGUAAGUUCCGACCUGCACGAAUGGCGUAAUGAUGGCCAGGCUGUCUCCACCCGAGACUCAGUGAAAUUGAACUCGCUGUGAAGAUGCAGUGUACCCGCGGCAAGACGGAAAGACCCCGUGAACCUUUACUAUAGCUUGACACUGAACAUUGAGCCUUGAUGUGUAGGAUAGGUGGGAGGCUUUGAAGUGUGGACGCCAGUCUGCAUGGAGCCGACCUUGAAAUACCACCCUUUAAUGUUUGAUGUUCUAACGUGGACCCGUUACCCGGGUUGCGGACAGUGUCUGGUGGGUAGUUUGACUGGGGCGGUCUCCUCCUAAAGAGUAACGGAGGAGCACGAAGGUUGGCUAAUCCUGGUCGGACAUCAGGAGGUUAGUGCAAUGGCAUAAGCCAGCUUGACUGCGAGCGUGACGGCGCGAGCAGGUGCGAAAGCAGGUCAUAGUGAUCCGGUGGUUCUGAAUGGAAGGGCCAUCGCUCAACGGAUAAAAGGUACUCCGGGGAUAACAGGCUGAUACCGCCCAAGAGUUCAUAUCGACGGCGGUGUUUGGCACCUCGAUGUCGGCUCAUCACAUCCUGGGGCUGAAGUAGGUCCCAAGGGUAUGGCUGUUCGCCAUUUAAAGUGGUACGCGAGCUGGGUUUAGAACGUCGUGAGACAGUUCGGUCCCUAUCUGCCGUGGGCGCUGGAGAACUGAGGGGGGCUGCUCCUAGUACGAGAGGACCGGAGUGGACGCAUCACUGGUGUUCGGGUUGUCAUGCCAAUGGCACUGCCCGGUAGCUAAAUGCGGAAGAGAUAAGUGCUGAAAGCAUCUAAGCACGAAACUUGCCCCGAGAUGAGUUCUCCCUGAGACUUAAAGUCUCCUGAAGGAACGUUGAAGACGACGACGUUGAUAGGCCGGGUGUGUAAGCGCAGCGAUGCGUUGAGCUAACCGGUACUAAUGAACCGUGAGGCUUAACCCU
rnacentral:rRNA from 1 species